AUACGGAGGGUGCAAGCGUUAAUCGGAAUUACUGGGCGUAAAGCGCUCGUAGGCGGCUUGUUAAGUCGGAUGUGAAAGCCCCGGGCUCAACCUGGGAACUGCAUUCGAUACUGGCAGGCUAGAGUAUAGGAGAGGCAAGUGGAAUUCCGGGUGUAGCGGUGAAAUGCGUAGAUAUCCGGAGGAACAUCAGUGGCGAAGGCGACUUGCUGGACUAAUACUGACGCUGAGGAGCGAAAGCGUGGGGAGCAAACGGGAUUAGAUACCCGAGUAGUCC
rnacentral:rRNA from 1 species